AUAUAGCAGUAGGAAAUGCAAAUAGCAGCUCCCUGUGCUGAUGAAAACCAGACCAGCCCUCACCCUGCAGCUCUGCAGAGGAGCCCAGGCUUGGUGCACAGCUGUUCCCACUCAGAGAUCAGGACUGAGCACAGACGGCUCACCAUGCAGCUGUUCCAGAUCUGGGCUUUCUUGUUUGCAGUUUUCAAAGGUGUCCAGGCUGAGGUGCAGCUCGUGGAGUCUGGUGGAGGUUUGGUGAAGCCUGGGGAGUCCCUGAGACUCUCCUGCGUGGCUUCAGGAUUCACUUUCAGUAGCUACUGGAUGAACUGGAUCCGCCAGGCUCCAGGGAAGGGGCUGGAAUGGAUCUCUGCUAUCAAUAGUGAUGGUAGUAGCACAUACUACGCAGACUCCGUGAAGGGCCGAUUCACCAUCUCCCGGGACAACGGCAAGAACACGCUGUAUCUGCAGAUGAGCAGCCUGAGACCCGAGGACACCGCCAUGUAUUACUGUGCAAGAGACACAGUGAAGAAAACCUCAGUGGGAGUCAAUCAUAAACCUCCGUGUAGGGACGCUAAAUACCAGCAGGGGUCGCUCCAGGUCCACAGCACGGAGUCUACCAUAA